UACGUAGGGUGCGAGCGUUGUCCGGAAUUAUUGGGCGUAAAGAGCUCGUAGGCGGUGUGUCGCGUCGGCCGUGAAAACCUGGGGCUUAACUCUGGGCGUGCGGUCGAUACGGGCAUCACUAGAGUUCGGCAGGGGAGACUGGAAUUCCUGGUGUAGCGGUGAAAUGCGUAGAUAUCGGGAGGAACACCAGAGGCGAAGGCGGCGAACUUGACAGUAACUGACACUCAACUGCGAAAGCGUGGGGAGCAAACAGG
rnacentral:rRNA from 1 species